ACAGAAAUAAUAAUACCACCUACCUCACAAUGUUGUUGUGGAGACCAAGUAAGAUAUCUGCAGGUGCUCUGUAAAUGCCUCCUCCACUUACCACAUCCUCGAUGAGUGCUGCAUCCUUGAGCAGAGGUUCUUCGGCCAGCAGGGACAAGGCCAGCCCUUUAACACUGCUUCUGUGGGACCAUCUGGACAAACGGAGUCACCCACCAGUGCUGUUGCCAGUUUCCAAGCCAGAUAAUCGUCAUCCCCAUGGUCGACUCCUCUAGGUCCUGGAGGACUCUGGCUCCCUUGAGUCGGUGAGUCUGGUUUCUCUUUGCCUUUGGCCAGAGUUUCAGGAGACCUGAUAAAUGAGACAAAUGUUAGGGACAUUCCCAGACGUCGGCCAGUUUCAGAGAGCAGGCCACUCGUUGAGAAAGCUAAAUGAUGAUUGUACUAAACCACUAAUGAAAAGUCAACAAUACAUCUCUUGGGCAAGGUGCCUCCAGGCAAUGGGAACACAGAGAGGAAAUGAUGUCUGACCCAUGUGCGUGAAACCAGUCAGUGCCCUACUGCCAGGAUGAAUAUCAAGGAAUGGGUAUAGUUAUUCUUACAACAAAAAUAAAAGCAGUAUGAGGGCAUUUAAGGCUUAAA